UGGCAAAAAACUUUACUGCAUAUGUACAC
rnacentral:piRNA from 1 species